CAAACGACUCUCGGCAACGGAUAUCUCGGCUCUCGCAUCGAUGAAGAACGUAGCAAAAUGCGAUACCUGGUGUGAAUUGCAUAAUCCCGCGAACCAUCGAGUCUUUGAACGCAAGUUGCGCCCGAGGCCUUCGGGCCGAGGGCACGCCUGCCUGGGCGUCACGC
rnacentral:rRNA from 1 species